UACGUAGGGGGCAAGCGUUGUCUGGAUUUAUUGGGCGUAAAGAGCGUGUAGGCGGCCAGACAGGUCAGCUGUGAAAACUCGAGGCUCAACCUCGAGACGUCGGUUGAAACCGUCUGGCUAGAGUCCGGAAGAGGAGAGUGGAAUUCCCGGUGUAGCGGUGAAAUGCGCAGAUAUCGGGAAGAACACCCGUGGCGAAGGCGGCUCUCUGGGACGGUACUGACGCUGAGACGCGAAAGCGUGGGGAGCGAACAGG
rnacentral:rRNA from 1 species